CCCUGCUAACGCGGUGUCAGGAGCCGCGGUAAUAAGGAGGGUGCAAGCGGUCAUCGGAAUUACUGGGCGUAAAGCGCACGCAGGCGGCUUUUUAAGUCGGAUGUGAAAGCCCCGGGCUCAACCUGGGAAUUGCAUUCGAGACUGGGAAGCUAGAGUAUGUGAGAGGGGGGUAGAAUUCCAAGUGUAGCGGUGAAAUGCGUAGAGAUUUGGAGGAAUACCAGUGGCGAAGGCGGCCCCCUGGCACACUACUGACGCUCAGGUGCGAAAGCGUGGGGAGCAAACAGGAUUAGUACCGUGAUUC
rnacentral:rRNA from 1 species